rnacentral:lncRNA from 1 species
GUGUUCCUGCGCCCACGGUUAUUACCUGACUCCGGAGGGGCGGGUCAUGGCCCAAGCUCUUAUCAGAAUUAAGUCAUCGAUCAAUAUUAAUCAGCCCAAUAUGGGGCCUGGCGUACGCAUCACCUCAAUAUUAAUACCAACACGGCUCUAUUGCUAAGAUCAGUCAUCAAUCCGCUCAAGUCUCCAUAUGCUAACAUCUCACAGAAACAUUAUACAAUAUACCACACAGAAUAUACCUACGUACUACAAGGACACCAACAACAUAUGAGAUAACAUAUCAAAAGUGUACAAAGACAACGAUAUAACACGCGGCGCAUGGAAAAUAUGACUAUGACUAAGGCAAAUAGCUCAACAUUUCAAAAAUAGCCCCAUCAUGCCUCAACAAGUAUGCAAACAACCUAGAAAUGAUUUCUAGCACGAAUGAUAGCUCACGUAGUCAUACAAAUGGAGAAAACAUGAUAUUAAAGAAGCAUGAUAGCAAAAUAAGGCAUAUAAUGGCCUAAGAACUACCCAAAUCAUGAAUAACCAUGGCGCACGCAUAUACUGGCACGGGCCGACUCCUCCAAAGCGUCAACGACACUCCAAUAGCCCGUGCGGCGCCCGUAGUCCCACAUGACUACAAGCCAACCUUCUCUUAUCCCAGGUUUUCUAGCACGAUCCUGUGCUUAUAUCGAAGCUUGCUUCAGAGGCUUAGCUUCUCCUGUGCCGCCGUUUGAUGCCAAGGCUUCGGUCUUGUCUUGUUGACAUAUUCCUGUGGCGCAUUUCAUAAGCUGGGUCUUGACAUUGCACACACCUGGGGUUUUGCUACGGACAUGUUUGUCCCUCGCUUGGCACUGAGCGUCGCUCUCGCGCGCACAGUCCAAUCCUCAAGCUUGACACUUGCCUUGUUCUUUGGCACGUGGCUGUGCUUCGCCCGAGUAGGGAAACCUUCAAUCCUUGGCCUUUGUCAUGUGUGUCUUUCAUAAGAUGCCUAUUGUUGUCAUAUGGCAUUGCCAAGCAUAGCCCUCGCAACAUAUUUCCAUCCCGCAUAGUGCAGCCUCGCCCCACGACUGUAUGUCUAGGCCUAACGUACGAGGCUCUUAAGAGUGGUGCCUCGAGUGUCCAAUCGGCACAAAGGUCUUUAUCCUUCCCUAAAGUAGCCUGCAGGGCCUAGUCAUUCCAUAUGUCAAGCCUCUGGCACUAGUUGUGCGCCCAACGCUAGCCCUGAGGCGUGGCGCCGUCUAUAGAGUUCCCUAACUCAUGUGGAUACCUUGGACACUCCUUAGAGAUGCCUAUGCAGGCCCUUGAGGUUCCCUCUCAAGGUUGCUCACUUGGUGUGGCUUGAUUGUAGCACGCGCAUGGGAGGCUGGCGGAGCAUUCAACGCCUCUGCCCCCCUUAUAUAUGCUUAAAAAGAAAAAGCCCAUGUUUCCCCACUUGACAUGUUUUGGCUAGAGAAUCGUAUCAUAAUGGACCUUUCUCUUUACUCCGAACUCCGAAUGAGGCGCCAUUUGUUCUCAAUGAUUUGUCUUGACUUCCUUCAUACUUCCAUGAAGUUUCAUCCCAUUCCCAUAUCCGAGGAAAGAAAUAGCUUUCGCAAGAUUCAGUUAAUUACAACAAUGCCACUGAACUUGGCUAAGUCAAGCCCAUAGGUAAACGAACUCCAAAUGACGCCAAACAUGGUAAGCAUAUAUAAGGACAUAUUAGGAACAAGGCCUGCAGCCGAAAUCCCUAUAUUCCAUCCAUAACUUGAAAACGUGUGGUGCUGACAUUCAUGGCAAGCACCCGGCCGUCGCCCAUAGGCUAGACCCUUGGGCUCCUCCCAAGUCCUUGCUAUACUUCCUUGGCACUCUUAGGACAUGCAAUACAACAUGUCUAGAUGGUCGUUGCCUCCCGAAAAGUCCCUUUGCCUGAUGCUCCUUCUUGAAGCUCAUCCUCAGCACGGUGCCGCCAACACGGCUGAUGCUCGCACAACCUGCUUGGGGUGCACAACGUUACGGGCGCGGAGAGUCAACAAAAGUAGCCCGUAACAUUCUCCUCCACUCAAAGUCGUCAUCGUCCUCAAUGACAUAGCUAGCCAUCUUAAGGGUUGCAAUAAAAGGAAGGUGAGUCCCUCAACAUCCAUGCCGGACAAGUGGGCUUAGAGCCCAUAGCAUGGGGCAAGCUCUUGCGAGUUUGAGUGCUAUGCGAGGCAGAUGCCGAGCUAGCACAUGGGCGUUGGCACGUGUGCCGCACCAACAACCGCUUUGGGCGAAUAGGUGUUAGUGACACUCGCACAACCCGCUUGGGGCGCGCACCGUUACGAGCGCCGAGAGUCAACAAAGGCAGCCCGUAGCAAUGCGCUCUUCACCUCGCAUAUACAUCACCCCAACACAUAACAAAUACCAUAGGCCACAGGGAAAUUACCCUCAAACUAAGUUUAGGCAAGAUACUUACCUCAUCCGGGCUAUCUUUGAAUCUUGAAUCGCAUUAAAACCUCCAUCUAGCUCUCCAA